ACUAGUGAUUUCCGUAGGUGAACCUGCGGAAGGAUCAUUCGCACGCAUCCAACCAAACCAUGUGAACGAACCUCGGUGAGGCCCUGGGUGGGGAUGGAGACUUAAAGUCGAUACCCCCGUGCAGGGACUCGCGGGCAGCGUAUGGGGUGAGAGCGGACCGUCGUAUCCCCUCUCGCUUCGCUGUCGGUGUCUUUUGAACUUCACAUUUGUGCUAACUUGUAUCUUCUCGAGUGGUUCCCUCCACUCCAUUUGCCUUACAACUUUCAGCGACGGAUGUCUCGGCUCGAACAACGAUGAAGGGCGCAGCGAAGUGUGAUAAGCAUUGUGAAUUGCAGAAUUCCGUGAACCAAUAGGGAUUUGAACGUAUACUGCGCUUUCGGGAUAUCCCUGAAAGCAUGCCUGCUUCAGUGUCUUUUCCUUUUCAUUCCCUCGGCUCAAGCUUGCUUCACGCGAGCCAGCCGUGUGUGAGUGUUUGUGCGUCAAGGCGCUCUCUUCAUCUUCUUGGUGAACGUUGAGCCCUUAACGCAUGCAGUGCAUGGGGACUUCUGCGGCGAGCAACUUGAAGAGCGUCUUCAUUGAGCUUUUUCUGUUGUUGUCUUUCGCCGUUGGAACUUGCCCCGAGCUCGAGCUGUUGGUGCAGCUUCUUUCUCCAGACAUGAAGUUAGGUCAGCAAACCCGCUGAAUUUAAGCAUAUCAA
rnacentral:rRNA from 1 species